UUGAGGGCGAAUCACGUUUUUAGUGCAGUGUAUAUCACACGCUUCGAUCUAGGCAAACUAUUUCUCAAUCUUCUGAUUUUUUUAGUAGAUUAUUUCUUUAUAAUACUUUUAUAAAAUAAAGAUAUAGCAGAUUUUAGGCAAAAUAUUUUCAAUAAUGAGAACAAUAUAGGUUUAGGAACCACCAAUAAGUGCAUUAUCCUGCAAGAAGUGCUCCCGGUAUGAUCAGAGACCAGCUAUGCCAAAAGAAUUCAAAACAACAAUGCCCCAUAUGCAACCGGCACAUAGCAGCACCUAUAAUAUUAUACGCCCUAUAAUAUGAU
rnacentral:lncRNA from 1 species